rnacentral:rRNA from 1 species
CCUACGGGGGGCAGCCGUGGGGUAUCUUGCACAGUUUGUGAAACCCUGAUGCAGCAACGCCGCGUGAAGGAAGACGGUUUUCGGAUUGUAAACUUCUGUUCUUAGUGAAGAAGAAUGACGGUAGCUAAGGAGCAAGCCACGGCUGACUACGUGCCAGCAGCCGCGGUAAUAUGUAGGUGGCAAGCGUUGUCCGGAAUUACUGGGUGUAAAGGGAGCGCAGGCGGGAAGCCAAGUCAGCUGUGAAAACUACGGGCUUAACUUGUAGACUGCAGUUGAAACUGGUUUUCUUUAGUGAAGUAGAGGUU